rnacentral:snRNA from 1 species
GUGCUCACUUCUGCAGCACAUAUACUAAAAUUGGAAGAGUAGUAUGGUCCCUGAACAAGGAUAACAUGCAAACUCAGGAAGUGUUCUGUAUUUUU